rnacentral:rRNA from 1 species
UUAAAGGAAUUGACGGGGCCGCACAAGCGGUGGAGCAUGUGGUUUAAUUCGACGCAACGCGAAGAACCUUACCAGGGCUUGACAUCCCCGUGACCGUCUAUGAAAGUAGGCUUUCACCUUCGGGUAGACAGGGAGACAGGUGGUGCAUGGUUGUCGUCAGCUCGUGUCGUGAGAUGUUGGGUUAAGUCCCGCAACGAGCGCAACCCUUACGGUUAGUUGCCAGCGGGUUAUGCCGGGCACUCUAGCUGAACUGCCGUUGACAAAAACGGAGGAAGUGGGAUGACGUCAAAUCAUCAUGCCCCUUAUGUUCUGGGCUACACACGUGCUACAAUGGCCGGUACAGACGGACGCAAAGCCGCGAGGUGGAGCAAAUCCUAAAAAGCCGGUCUCAGUUCGGAUUGCAGGCUGCAAUUCGCCUGCAUGAAGUCGGAAUCGCUAGUAAUCGCAGGUCAGCAUACUGCGGUCGAAUACGUUCCCGGGCCUU